UUUAAUUCGGUAAAACGCCAAGUUUGACAAGGAAGAGGAAAUUGGAAUAAAUAAGAAAAAUUCUAAGAGAAAUAUUAAGCACGAGUAACUCUUUAACUUAUCACAGACAUGAGGUUUAAACUUUCAGCAAUAAAAAUGCAAAAUCCCCAUAGAUGUAGGACGGUCAAAAUUGAAGAUGAAAAACUAGUAAUGAAACAACACACAUAUUUCUGAAUUCCAACUCCACCUACAAAACAAUGCUAUCGAGGCCAAAUCAAUGCUAAUUACUUUCAAAGCCUAACAAAAUUGUCCCCAGCGUGUUCAACAUUCAUAACACUUAUGGCAGAACUCGCAAAAAUGAAUAAUAAAACAAAAAUAACUUUGACUAAUAUCAAAUUCGAAUGCUCUCUCUAUUUUCAAUCCUCUGCAUCUCAUGAGUUAAGACUCCAACUUCAAUUUCCUUCAGUAUGUCCAUCCUCAGUAGCAUGCCCAUUUUCAGAAGCAUGAUCAUUCUCAUUUGUCUCAGCACUGCACCCAGAGGAAACAUUGAUUUCACAAACUUUAGCAGCUCAUCUCAAUUUCACAGAAGAAUAUAUAUAAACCAUAAUAGGCAAGCACCUAAACUAUUUUCUUUCUUGUUGAAAUAAUUUCACCACAGUAACAUCUAACAGGACCCAUAUUUUGUCUAGGGGUUUUUCCUAUUAUCUGCGAAAACAACACUAGUAAUCAGGAUAUUCAAAAUAAUUUUAUAAGUCUUAAACCCAUCCGUAUGUAUAGUACCUAACUGGAUGAUCCAAAUUGAGCCAUAAUAUAUAAAUUUACAAACCCACCCCCAACACAGCACCACCUCAAUAAAGUUAUUAUAUCUGUUAGAAAAUAGAUUCCACUCAAUGUUAAGACCAACCCUAAUGCACGUAGGCAAUUUAAUGCAAAUAAGAAAUGGUAUAAAUGUUUUAAGACGAACACUAUAUGUACUUGCUUCACACAUCCCACCUGAAGAAUGAUACGAGAAUUCAUAUAGAAGGAAGCUAGGGAGUGAUUAAAAGAAUUGGCUCAUGGAUUUGUAUAACCCUAAAAAACAUGGGGUUUUAACACAAACACUAUAGCAUAAAUAAUAACAGUAGAAAUCCAAGACUAGGGAGGAAGGACAAGGAUGCAACAAAAGACAAUGAAUCCAACACACCUCACAACUCAAAUAUUCUCACGAUAGAUAGAGGAGUUGGAAAACCUAAGUGACAAGGUAUACUACUGUACAAUUCUGAGAAACUCAAGUAUCUUGAAGAACCCUAAAAAACUGGGACCAAAAAUAUCAUCCCUCCAUGGUCCAAUGAAGUUAAUAAUACCUCCCACCAAAUAAGAGUUAACGCCACACAGGCAGGUAAUUGUGUGUACAAAUAAUUAAGUGAUAACAAAAUCAAUACAUCUUUCCAAUCACAGAACAUAUAUAAAUGAGCCAAACUUCUCCUAAUAUGCUCACUAGUUAACCAAAUAAUCAAUCAAAGAGCAAUAAAACAAACCUCUGAGGGCGAGAACUGGAAUCAGCAACAUCAGGCUUCCUCCAGCUCCUCUCAACACGCUCAGUGCCAGAACCCCCACGCCCAUUCCCAAAGCUCCACCGCCCAAAUGAUGUCGAAUUGCUUCUUUCACCUUUUUCAAUUUCUUUAUUACCAUUGAUCUUCAGAGACUGCAGCUUCUCAUCAAUCUGUUUCCAGUCCUUUCCCUUCUCAGCUAACACCUCCUCUCUCGGCCUCGCCUCUCCAAAUGGGCUCGACCCUUUGGGUUUCGCUGCUGUGCCAUUCUCGUUACUUACAGGUACUGUGCGUGGCUGUAAUACAAGCUUUGGCCUUACACUUCCUGUUCCAUUAACGUCCUCUUUCUUCCUUCCCCAGUUAUCGGAAUCUGCUGCACCGCCACCACUGCUAUAGGACCCGUUUCUAUCUCUGGAUAAAGAAUCGAAACUCCCCCUCCCCUCAAAUCCACCGUUAGUAGCACCAAAUCUCCGUGUCUCCGUUGGUUUAUUGGCUACCCAGCUGUCUGAUUCGUCGGCUUUUGAGUGAGAAUCAAAAAAAGAGCCCCUUUCUCUCUUUUCAUAGCCAUUACCCACUGGUGAUUUCUUCAACUUAGACCAAUCAUCAGUCUCAUCAGCACGCGAAGGCGCUAAAUCUCUGCUCACAUCCCUAUCUCUACUAGAAACCCUAGAAUUACCACCACCCCAUCUCGAAUUAGACGAAUCGUCACCGUUACGGUUGCUCAUGCCAUAGGAUUUAAAGCCGCCGCUGAGCCUAGACCGCUCGAGCUCUUCAGCAGACCGCUGUCGGGGGCCAGUGGGGAGAUUGAGGAGAUCUUCAUGAGUAAGGCCUCUGGAUUGGGUAGGCUGAGACGGCUUAGCGGAGCCAUAGGUGGCGAAUUCAGCUAAAGAUAGGGUUUGAUUCUUCUUCUUCUUAGGCUGUUUGUUGGCUGCGGCGGCGGCUAAAGAGGGAAAUUCAGACUCACCAGAAAAAGUAUCGGUGUUGUGGGGGGAAUCCAAUUGUUGUUGACGGAGCUCGUCCUCGUGCUCUUCGGCCCAAGCACCGGGCUUGCCCCAAGGAGAAGACACAGUUGCCGCCAUGUUGAUGUUGUUGUUAUUGUUGCGUAGAGAAGAAAGGGCGUAUGAGCUUGCGUUAGUUGGCAGCGAAGGAAGGAGACGUGGAGGUAUAUAUUUAUAAUGAAGGGAUAAAAGAUGAGAUUCUCUUCCAGAAUGGACUGGAAUGGA
rnacentral:misc_RNA from 1 species